CAGCCGCCGCGGUAAUACGAAGGGUGCAAGCGUUACUCGGAAUUACUGGGCGUAAAGCGUGCGUAGGUGGUGGUUUAAGUCCGUUGUGAAAGCCCUGGGCUCAACCUGGGAAUUGCAGUGGAUACUGGAUCACUAGAGUGUGGUAGAGGAUAGUGGAAUUUCCGGUGUAGCAGUGAAAUGCGUAGAGAUCGGAAGGAACAUCUGUGGCGAAGGCGACUAUCUGGGCCAACACUGACACUGAGGCACGAAAGCGUGGGGAGCAAACAGGAUUAGAUACCCCAGUAGUACCUGUCUCUUAUAU
rnacentral:rRNA from 1 species